rnacentral:rRNA from 1 species
CCUACGGGUGGCAGCAGUAGGGAAUAUUGCUCAAUGGGCGAAACCCUGAAGCAGCAACGCCGCGUGGAGGAUGAAGGUUUUCUGAUUGUAAACUCCUUUUGUUAGAGAAGAUAAUGACGGUAUCUAACGAAUAAGCACCGGCUAACUCCGUGCCAGCAGCCGCGGUAAUACGGCGGGUGCAAGCGUUACUCGGAAUCAAUGGGCGUAAAGAGCGCGUAGGCGGGAUAGCAAGUCAGAUGUGAAAUCCUAUGGCUUAACCAUAGAACUGCAUUUGAAACUGGUAUUCUAGAGUAUGGGAGAGGUAGGUGGAAUUCUUGGUGUAGGGGUAAAAUGCGUAGAGAUCAAGAGGAAUACUCAUUGCGAAGGCGACCUGCUAGCACAUAACUGACGCUGAUGCGCGAAAGCGUGGGGAGCAAACAGGAUUAGAUACCCUGGUAGUC